GACGAACGCUGGCGGCGUGCUUAACACAUGCAAGUCGAACGGAAAGGCCUCUUUCGGGGGGUACUCGAGUGGCGAACGGGUGAGUAACACGUGAGUAACCUGCCCUUGACUUUGGGAUAACUUCAGGAAACUGGGGCUAAUACCGGAUAGGAGCUCCUGCUGCAUGGUGGGGGUUGGAAAGUUUCGGCGGUUGGGGAUGGACUCGCGGCUUAUCAGCUUGUUGGUGGGGCAGUGGCUUACCAAGGCUUUGACGGGUAGCCGGCCUGAGAGGGUGACCGGCCACAUUGGGACUGAGAUACGGCCCAGACUCCUACGGGAGGCAGCAGUGGGGAAUAUUGCACAAUGGGUGGAAGCCUGAUGCAGCAACGCCGUGUGCGGGAUGACGGCCUUCGGGUUGUAAACCGCUUUCGCUCAUGACGAAGCUUUGUGUGACGGUAGUGGGUAAAGAAGCACCGGCUAACUACGUG
rnacentral:rRNA from 1 species